rnacentral:lncRNA from 1 species
AUUAAAUCAACCUAAACUAAAAGACUAAGCAGUCUGCAAGUAGCUGCCUGAAGAAAUAUGCAAAAAAAAAAAAACAAAAACCCAAGAGCUGCUUCCUGCUCAGCUCCACAUUCCCUGAAGAAAAUCAACUUUACCCCUUCAUAAUCACAGUAUUGGAUUUUAAAACAGUCUUGUUUUAUGAAUUUAUGAUGGUCUUUUCUUUCUGCUUUGCGGAGAUAAUAAAAUAAUGAACAUACAAUCAUAUUAGAUCAAGUAUCAUUUUCACUUUAAUUUUUACCAUAUUUAGGGAGUAAUGGCCAAAGAGCAAUAUGACUGGUCAAAGAGAACAUGAAGUGAUUAUGUGACAUCCAGAUGACAUGAUAACAUGGUGUUGGCUCUCAGCAACAUUAAUAAGUCAACAGGAAUGUCAGGAAGAUGAAUACCUUCGCCACCCAAACUAGUUCCAUGAGAGGAUCUUCAGAAACACAUAAUGCCAGCAAGAAAACACGAUUAGUAGUUAAUAAGUUAUGAGCCAGCUCCCCUGAGAUGAAGCAGCAGCACCGGAAGUCUGUCACUGCAGAGACUGUGGGAAAGCAGUCAGACCCAGAGCUUGAUCACACGUAACAUGUUGCGGAUAUGGAAAAGAUGUGAAAAUGUUCAGGAAAAAACCCUCAGUCAUUUCAACAUCUACUUGGAGCUCCCUAUAAAUGAAGAGAAAAAGAAACACUCACCAUCUGGACCUCUGAUAAACAUCCAUGUAGAAUGAGGCCCUAAGAAGCAGUUAUAAGGAAGAAGUGUCAUCAGCUCAUCUCCCUCUACACCCAUAAUUAUCAAGUCACCUGGAAAAGGGUAGUUCUGAUCUUGAGGUUGUCAGAAAGUGGUACCAUCCAAUGGGAAAGUGAACUUUUCCAAUUCCAGUUAAUGGCUGAGCUCUGGGUUUCCCAUGUGUGAGCUAUUCUCCCCAGGCCAUAUCUGUCUGUGUGGAUUAGCUGAUCCCAGUCCUUGUGAACAAAACAAAAAGAAAAAUAUUAACAUUCCUUUUAACAGAG